GGGCGCUUAGCUCAGUUGGCUAGAGCGCGUGGAUCACACCCACGAGGUCACAGGUUCAAGUCCUGUAGCGCCCACCA
rnacentral:tRNA from 2 species